GUGGGGAAUCUUGCGCAAUGGGCGAAAGCCUGACGCAGCCAUGCCGCGUGAAUGAUGAAGGUCUUAGGAUUGUAAAAUUCUUUCACCGGGGACGAUAAUGACGGUACCCGGAGAAGAAGCUCCGGCUAACUUCGUGCCAGCAGCCGCGGUAAUACGAAGGGGGCUAGCGUUGCUCGGAAUUACUGGGCGUAAAGGGCGCGUAGGCGGACAGCUUAGUCAGAGGUGAAAGCCCAGGGCUCAACCUUGGAAUUGCCUUUGAUACUGGCUGUCUUGAGUUUGGGAGAGGUGAGUGGAACUCCGAGUGUAGAGGUGAAAUUCGUAGAUAUUCGGAAGAACACCAGUGGCGAAGGCGACUCACUGGCCCGUUACUGACGCUGAGGCGCGAAAGCGUGGGGAGCAAACAGGAUUAGAUACCCCUGUAGUCC
rnacentral:rRNA from 1 species